GAGGGUGUAGCUCAGUGGUAGAGUGCAUGCUUAGCAUGCAUGAGGUUCUGGGUUCAAUUCCCCAGUACCUCCA
rnacentral:tRNA from 1 species